UUAAGGUGCUCUGGCUGGAGAGUUCUGGAUCACCCAGGUGAGUCCAGUGUAAUCACUAGCGUCCUUAUAAGAGGGAGGCCGGGGGCGGAGGCUCACAAGGAGUUGAGAUGGUGGGAGAGGAGGCCGCACGUCCGUGGAGCCGGGAGCCCAGGAGCCUCCAGACCCAGAGAAGGGGGGAAACGGCUUGUCCCUUGACGCUCCGGGAGGAAGGCAGGAUGAGCUUGGUUUUGCCAUUGGUCUUUGCUGUGUGAAAAUGGCAGAGUAAAUAAUGUGCCACUAGAACUCAAGCAAUGACAUUACUGAACUCUGUAGAAUGGUGGACAUGGAAGAGAGGAUGCUUUUUACCCAAAAAGACCUUCCCACAGCACCUUUAGGGGAGCAAGGACUCAGCUCUCCUCUACUUGCCCCUGAUGAGAAACAGAUGAAAUUGGCUUGUGCAUUUAACUGAUUAGAACUGUGCAAUAUUUUUAAAGCUUUGGUAGCAAAACUUGGCAGCAACCCCAUCUGAACUAAUGCCAGGCUUUGUCCUACUUGGAAUAUGGCCACGUUUUCCUGUAGUAAGAUUAAUCAAGUGUUGGAUUAGAGGGUACUGCCAUACCCCUCACAGCAGACCUGAAGGAAUAGCAUAUAUGCUUUUCUAAAUUCCUAACCACUCUCAGAUGUGGAAAGAUCUGGCCCAAAAGGUGUGGAAGGAUUGUGGGUCUAUAUUAAAAAGCAGCAUUUUGUUUUGAGCAAAACCCACCCACCCUGGUAAUUCGUCUAAUGCUGUGCACCUGUGUUCCAGAAAGUCUUUAGAAAUCCAGCGUGACCUUCACUCCUACUUGAUGUUCUGGGCUAGGGCAUCUGCACGUGGCAUCUAGCCCAGGGGGCAUGUGAGACCCUGUUCUGCUCACCAUGAUGGGGACCCCAGAUCUGGACGUGGAUGAAACAGCUCCGGGGAUAGAGCCUGCAUUCUCACUUUCCCUGCCACCCUAUUUUAUGCUUAAAGUGCCUGCUUGUACCCCAGCUCCUCACAGGGGCUGUGGGAAUCCCUGUAUGGACAGUUGGAACCCACGAGAAAGGACCUGUCCUACCUGCCAGGAGGAGUCCUUCCCAGCCUCAGGAAACCUUUUAAGAACAUGGCAUCUUUUUAAGCCAAGAGAUCAAAGGACAACGGGGCAGCAAAACGUAAUACUGUUAUUCAACACUAUCUCUCACAACACUGCACCCUGUAUUGACAAGGGAGGAUAUUUUCUUGUGUGGAUCAAAAUUGAAACCUGGUCUGUGACAGUGCUCUGCACCCAGAUGCGUGCAGAUGAGCCACCUUAUCCCCCUCUGCUCUCCAGAAGGCUCCUCUCCAGAUCCUCUUGUAGGAAGGAAACAGGCUAGGGAGGGUUGGUACUUGGGUCCGGAACCAAAGAGGAACAAACCUACAAAAAUACCAGCAAAGAACCAUACGAGCACAUUACUAAACCCCACGGGUUGGCUGCUGGGGAGAUGUGGAGGCCAGCCUGGAUUCACACAGUGUGGGGAAGUCAAGGUCAGUGCAUUUUUCUGGUCCACUCCUUACCGGACCUGUAAGACCAGGUUCUUGAGUUCAUGGGUAGGACAUGGACACUCCAGAGAAAGCUUGUACAUGUGGAGCCAACAAGAAAGAUGAAUGUCAGUCCCUCAAAGAGAAGGGUCCAAGACUUACAAAUGCACCCUCCAAAGGGUGAGGGGCUGAGAGUAGGGAAGCAUCCUUCAGUCCCACGGUCAAUAUCUCGUGGUUGAUACUUGUCA